CCAGGUCUUUAGGACUAAGCCGGAGUUUGCAUUGUGGAACGUUCGGGGACGCUGUAUUAACUGGUUUAUCUGCAUUACCACCGAGUCUUCCUAACAACUCGUGUUGGAGACUAGUAUUCCAUUUUAUAGUUGGGGAAACUGAAGCCUUAGCAACUGCCCAGCUUACGCCCACAGUACACGAUAGAGUCAGAAAUUGACUUCCCAAGCCUAGUCUCUUAAUCAUACCUGUGCACUGCCUCUCUACUACACCUAAAACCUGUGUUUUACAAAUGUCCUUUCAACACCAUUUGUCUCAGCUCUGUAUUCGUCGGCCCUCUGGGGGAUACAGCGAGGUAGAAGCCUUGGCCCCGUUCUGAACCAGUUGACCAAAAAUCCCGAGCAAAGCGCUCCAGUGAGAGGAGGGAGAGACAGCUGUCAGCUGGAGCUGCUGAAUGCAGCGCGAAGGAUGGAAGGAUGCUGAUUUGAGCUGGGCGUGAUUUGGAAGAUCCAGAGAAGGACAUUCCAGGUCCCGGACAGCCAAAGCGAAGUCUCACAGGAUUCUGCCCUGCCCUUCAGCUCUGCAUCUGAUGGCCAGCAUCUGGGGGAUCUUGUUUUCCUAAGAUUGUUGGAAUUCCUGUUAUCAUCAUAUGAAGUCUUCCCCUGGCGUCAUCAGCUUCCUGUAUCCAGGAGCUGUUCUAACUAAGGAACCUCAGUGCAGACACCUGAAUAUCACAUUCUCUGCCUGAAGAAUUCUCCGAUCUUGGUAGAGUGUGGACCCUUUUGAGAUCUUGCUUUUUGGCAUGAUCAUUUCUGACAUACCUCUGUGUCCAUUGGUGUAAUUUUUUGUUUUUGGAAACAGACUGAGCUGCUUCUGCCCAGAGCCAUCAAGGCUGUACCUGAAACUGUCUCCUGACCUUGGAGUGCUCAAGUUCACAUGGACUCUCCACUUUGUUCUGGAGAUAUGUGGGCUCCGGCUCAGGCAGCAUCAAGACAAGCCAGGCCUGCAGACCUCCCCAAGGGACAAAAGCCCUCCUCCUCACCCACGAAGGUGGGCUCAUCCUGCUGGAUAUGAGACCUUCCCUUUACCUCUGCUAUCUUUUCUCUGUGUAAGAUUCACAUGACUCCCGCUCAGUCAUGGAUGUGGGCACGCCUCCGUGCCCGGGACCUCCACCGUCUCUUCCCCAGUCCUGCUGCAACUGCUCCGUAGCCCAGGCCCCACGACAUAACCGUCCCUGUGGCAGCAGCUGGUAGAUAAGACCAAAGGAUAUGACCAAAGAUUGGAAGGGUUAGGCCUCUCAGGAGGAUUGCCCCAGGGGCACGAUGCUGGCAGGUUAUGAGAACGAGAUGCCUCAGGGUAAGGACCCAGCCUUCACUUACUAAUCCUGUAAAUGAUGGAGAAGGGAAAGCCAGCGCUUAAAAAUAUCCCACCACGGAGUUCCCGUUGUGGCACAAUGGGAUUGGCAGCAUCUUGGGAGCUCUGGGACACAGGUUCUGUCCCAGCCCGGCACAGUGGGUUAAGAAUCCAGGGUUGCCGAAGCUGUGGCUUAGGUUGCAACUGCGGCUCAGAUCAGAUCCCUGGCCUGGGAACUCCAUAUGCUGCAAGGCAGCCAAAAACAGAAAACAAACGAAAACUAUAUAUGUGUGUGUGUGUGUGUGUGUGUACAAAUCCCACUGCUUGCUCCAUGAGUCCCCUAAAAUGAAGAUAAGACUCCAGCCAAGAAAUUAAGUUGAUUUGGGAAAAACUAAAAAUCCCUCCUUGGUGUUAUAACUUCAAGUUCAGUUUACUGUUAUUAUGUAGUGCUUUCUAGCAAUAUUUUCCCAUUUAUAUUAUUUUUAAAAGAAAUGGAAUUUCCCUGGUGGCCUAACAGGUUAAGGAUCCCGCAUUGUCACUGCUGUGGAUAAGUGACAAUGCUGUGGUGUGGGUUUGACCCUUGGCCCAGGAACUUCUGCAUACCAUGUCCAAAAAAGCCCAUUAUUGCCUUAGAGAUUUCCAAUUAUCUCUCCAGUUUGAUUAACAAAAACUGGUUAAUUAGGUUUCACUGUAUGAGCUAAGGAGUUUCAUUAUUCUGUUUGCCUAAAAUCUAAAAUUUGUACUACAUAUUUGCAUAUAUAUAUCUUACAUAUAUGUAUUUGUAUAUUUGUAUUGUGCCUUUGUAUUUGUAUAUAUCUUUUUUUUUUUUUUUUUUUUNUUUUUUUGUCUUUUUGCCUUUUCUUGAGCCGCUCCCGCGGUAUAUGGAGCUUCCCAGGCUAGGGGUCCAAUCGGAGCUGUAGCCACCAGCCUACACCACAGCCACAGCAAUGUGGGAUCCAAACUGCGUCUGUGACCCACACCACAGCUCACAGCAACACUGGAUCCCCAACCCACUGAGCAAAGGCAGGGAUGAAACCUGCAACCUCAUGGUUCCUGGUCGGAUUCGUUAACCACUGCACCACGACGGGAACUCCUGUAUUUGUAUAUAUCUUAUUUAAAAUUCUCCUUAGAGUUCCUGUUGUGGAUCAGAGGGUUAAGAACAGCAUAGCGUCCAUGAGGACGCAGGUUCAAUCCCUGGCCUUGCUCAGUGGGUUAAGGAUCCGGCGCUGCUGCAAACUGCAGUGUAGGUCACAGAUGUGUCUGGAAUCCCACGUUGCUAUGACUGUGGCCUAGGCAGGCAGCUGCAGCUCUGCUCCUAUUCGACCCCUAGCCCAGGAACUUCCAUAUGCUGCAGGUAUGACCCUAAAAAAAAAAAAAAAAAAAAAAAA
rnacentral:lncRNA from 1 species